rnacentral:rRNA from 1 species
AAAUUGAAGAGUUUGAUCAUGGCUCAGAUUGAACGCUGGCGGCAGGCCUAACACAUGCAAGUCGAGCGGUAGCACAGAGAGCUUGCUCUCGGGUGACGAGCGGCGGACGGGUGAGUAAUGUCUGGGAAACUGCCUGAUGGAGGGGGAUAACUACUGGAAACGGUAGCUAAUACCGCAUAACGUCGCAAGACCAAAGUGGGGGACCUUCGGGCCUCAUGCCAUCAGAUGUGCCCAGAUGGGAUUAGCUAGUAGGUGGGGUAAUGGCUCACCUAGGCGACGAUCCCUAGCUGGUCUGAGAGGAUGACCAGCCACACUGGAACUGAGACACGGUCCAGACUCCUACGGGAGGCAGCAGUGGGGAAUAUUGCACAAUGGGCGCAAGCCUGAUGCAGCCAUGCCGCGUGUAUGAAGAAGGCCUUCGGGUUGUAAAGUACUUUCAGCGAGGAGGAAGGCAUUAAGGUUAAUAACCUUGAUGAUUGACGUUACUCGCAGAAGAAGCACCGGCUAACUCCGUGCCAGCAGCCGCGGUAAUACGGAGGGUGCAAGCGUUAAUCGGAAUUACUGGGCGUAAAGCGCACGCAGGCGGUCUGUCAAGUCGGAUGUGAAAUCCCCGGGCUCAACCUGGGAACUGCAUUCGAAACUGGCAGGCUAGAGUCUUGUAGAGGGGGGUAGAAUUCCAGGUGUAGCGGUGAAAUGCGUAGAGAUCUGGAGGAAUACCGGUGGCGAAGGCGGCCCCCUGGACAAAGACUGACGCUCAGGUGCGAAAGCGUGGGGAGCAAACAGGAUUAGAUACCCUGGUAGUCCACGCCGUAAACGAUGUCGACUUGGAGGUUGUGCCCUUGAGGCGUGGCUUCCGGAGCUAACGCGUUAAGUCGACCGCCUGGGGAGUACGGCCGCAAGGUUAAAACUCAAAUGAAUUGACGGGGGCCCGCACAAGCGGUGGAGCAUGUGGUUUAAUUCGAUGCAACGCGAAGAACCUUACCUACUCUUGACAUCCAGAGAACUUAGCAGAGAUGCUUUGGUGCCUUCGGGAACUCUGAGACAGGUGCUGCAUGGCUGUCGUCAGCUCGUGUUGUGAAAUGUUGGGUUAAGUCCCGCAACGAGCGCAACCCUUAUCCUUUGUUGCCAGCGAUUCGGUCGGGAACUCAAAGGAGACUGCCAGUGAUAAACUGGAGGAAGGUGGGGAUGACGUCAAGUCAUCAUGGCCCUUACGAGUAGGGCUACACACGUGCUACAAUGGCAUAUACAAAGAGAAGCGACCUCGCGAGAGCAAGCGGACCUCAUAAAGUAUGUCGUAGUCCGGAUUGGAGUCUGCAACUCGACUCCAUGAAGUCGGAAUCGCUAGUAAUCGUAGAUCAGAAUGCUACGGUGAAUACGUUCCCGGGCCUUGUACACACCGCCCGUCACACCAUGGGAGUGGGUUGCAAAAGAAGUAGGUAGCUUAACCUUCGGGAGGGCGCUUACCACUUUGUGAUUCAUGACUGGGGUGAAGUCGUAACAAGGUAACCGUAGGGGAACCUGCGGUUGGAUCACCUCCUUA